rnacentral:misc_RNA from 1 species
UACUAUUGGACUUGGUGGUGGGGGUGGUGGUAGAGGAAAUGGUGGCGGGGGCGGUGCUGCUCAUGUUGGAGGAGCUAGUGGCUCUGGAUAUGGCACAGGCAGUGGUGAAGGAGGUGGUGCAGGAUAUGGUGGAGUUAUUGGACUUGGAGGUGGGGGUGGUGGCAGUGGCAAGGGAGGUGGUGGUGGUGCUACUCAUGCCGGAGAAACUAGUGGUGCUAGAUAUAGUAGUGGUGCUGGUGAAGGUGGUGGUGUUGGUGAAGGUGCUGCUAUAGGAAAUGAAGGUGGUGGGGGAGGAGGUAGCGGCGGGGGAGGUGGUGCAGGUUAUGCUGGAGGAGCAAGUGGUGCUGGAUAUGGUAAUACUGGAGGUGAAAGUGGUGGUGCAUUAGGACAUACCGGUAGUGGGGCUGGUGGUGGAGGUGGCAAUGGUGGUGGAAGUGGUGUAGGUUCUGCUGGAGGGGCUAGUGGUGUUGGACACGGCAGUGGUGGUGGUGAAGGAGGUGGUGCUGGAUAUGGUUCUGGAGGAGAAAAGGGAGCCAAUUAUGGUGGUGGUGGUGGUGGUA